rnacentral:rRNA from 1 species
UACGUAGGGUGCGAGCGUUAAUCGGAAUUACGGGGCGUAAAGCGUGCGCAGGCGGAUGUUUAAGUCAGAUGUGAAAUCCCCGGGCUCAACCUGGGAAUGGCAUUUGAAACUGGGCAUCUAGAGUGCGUCAGAGGGGGGUGGAAUUCCACGUGUAGCAGUGAAAUGCGUAGAGAUGUGGAGGAACACCGAUGGCGAAGGCAGCCCCCGGGGAUGACACUGACGCUCAUGCACGAAAGCGUGGGGAGCAAACAGGGUUAGAUACCCCGGUAGUCCACGCCCUAAACUAUGUCAACUAGUUGUUGGGGAGGUAAGUUCUUAGUGACGAAGCUAACGCGUGAAGUUGACCGCCUGGGGAGUACAGCCGCAAGGUAG